rnacentral:rRNA from 1 species
UACGAAGGGGGGCUAGCGUUGCUCGGAAUUACUGGGCGUAAAGGGCGCGUAGGCGGAUAUUUAAGUCGGGGGGUGAAAGCCCAGGGCUCAACCCUGGAAUUGCCUUCGAUACUGGAUAUCUUGAGUUCGGGAGAGGUGAGUGGAAUGCCGAGUGUAGAGGUGAAAUUCGUAGAUAUUCGGCGGAACACCAGUGGCGAAGGCGACUCACUGGCCCGAUACUGACGCUGAGGCGCGAAAAGCGUGGGGGAGCAAACAGG